rnacentral:lncRNA from 1 species
UUUGAUGGAUUACUCAGUAUCUCAAGUAAACCCUCCUGGUUUUCUGGUACAUGGGUUUGGCAAUUAUCAUGUUGGCAUACAUGGGCCAUUUGGAUCGGGGUUGGUCAAUACUAGUCUGCUUAACCUUUACUUCCUCGAUAGUGGGGAUCGUGAAGUAGUAGAUGGAAUUAAAACUUAUGGAUGGAUAAAAGAAUCUCAGCUUGCUUGGCUCAGUACUACUUCAAAAAAACUCCAGGUACUAGCUUGAUCACAGCACCUAACAUCUCAGUGUGGAAUGUGUCACCAUUGCGGAUGGAGAUCCUAACAACUAGUAUAAAUAUGUCAUGUCUGUUGGUCUAUUACCCCUUGCCUUUUUCUGCUAUAUGUUGAAGAACAUAUUUGUAAUCAAUCCGCUGGAUUAUUGUUCUGUUCAUAUUUUACCAGUCUUUGAGCUAAUCUCCCAUGUCACAUUCUGGUACAUGGGUUUGGCAAUUAUCAUGUUGGCAUACAUGGGCCAUUUGGAUCGGGGUUGGUCAAUACUAGUCUGCUUAACCUUUACUUCCUCGAUAGUGGGGAUCGUGAAGUAGUAGAUGGAAUUAAAACUUAUGGAUGGAUAAAAGAAUCUCAGCUUGCUUGGCUCAGUGCUACUUCAAAAAAAC